AUGGCUGAAGAGGACCGGGAGUUCGGAGAUAGGAGGGAGCAUACUAUCACGAUGGCUUUGGAGGGAAGAGGAUUUGUGGUUGUUCGUGGAGGACAGUUUGUUGUGAACGGAAGCGAAGGGGUAGUGAGUCGCGGAAGGUUGGAAGGAGGAAUGGUGAGGUUGAAGGAUGGAAGUAUGAAGAAGAGGAAACAAAAGAUUAGGUUGCGAUGGAUUACUAGGCGAAGGAGAACAGAGGGUGAAGGGAGAGAUGGAGUUAGCUUGCGGAAUUCGGUGCUGGCAGAAUCCAAGCUUGGUACGACACCAGUGACGACGCUUAGCGUUAUACCUGAUGGUGUUGUCAGUCCUCAUCCGGAUCCAGUAAGGGAUGGGCCUGUUCUGCCUCAUCUUCUUCGCCAAUUUCUUCUUGAUCAUGAAGGUCUUAUGUGA